GUUUCAGGGCGUGGUGAAAGUCCACACCGGUGGUGAUCGCUUCUGAGCGUAAGUCCACGAGCCUUUUGGCCGAACUGGUGAGAAUCCAGUACCGACGGUAUAGUCCGGAUGAAAGAAA
rnacentral:ncRNA from 1 species